GAUGAAGAACGUAGUGAAAUGCGAUAAGUAGUGUGAAUUGCAGAAUUCAGUGAAUCAUCGAAUCUUUGAACGCACAUUGCGCCCUUUGGUAUUCCUUAGGGCAUACCUGUUCGAGCGUCAUUUAAACCUUCAAGCUAAGCUUGGUGUUGGGUGACUGUCCGCUUCACGGCGGACUCGCCUCAAAAUUAUUGGCGGCCGGUACAUUGGCUUCGAGCGCAGCAGAAACGCGAACUCGGGCCCGUCGUAUUGGCUCCCAGAAGCUAUCUUCACAAUUUUGACCUCGGAUCAGGUAGGGAUACCCGCUGAACUUAAGCAUAUCAAUAAGCGGAGGA
rnacentral:misc_RNA from 1 species